UGUCCCAACAAUGGGCUAAGCGAUACCUUGUUGGUUAUGUUGCUCUUAUAUCAGUCAGGGGCAGAAGAGCAGAUGGCAGUCCUUUGUUUAUCCUAGCUUGAUGCCUUGCUUGAUGGCCAAAGCUAUCUCAUGCCUAGGACUCAUGA
ensembl:snoRNA LOC120094477 small nucleolar RNA SNORA48